UAGGACGCCGUUAUUAAAACGACCACAAGAUGGCGAUAUCACUUACUGUGCGAGUGUGCGUGGAACGCUAUGACAGGAAGUGAGGUAAAGUAGAAACAGGAAGUGAUGUAAGAAAAAGAAAAGGCGAUUAAAGGGAAAUACAGGAAGUUCUGAGAGAGAAGAACGAGGUGGAGAGGAGACAUCACUGGAUUAUACAGAGGAGGUUUGAUGAAGUAGUGAAGAGGACAUCUGGGCGGUUGAAAAAUAGAUGCUGAUCCCAUGAUCCAUUAUUAAAAGGACACAAGGAUCUCGACAAGGACGUCAUGAUGGAGAAUCAGCCGCCCCUCACAUCACCGGAUGGAUCCAGUAAUGGGAAC